GACGAACGCUGGCGGCGUGCUUAACACAUGCAAGUCGAGCGGUAAGGCCCUUUCGGGGGUACACGAGCGGCGAACGGGUGAGUAACACGUGGGUGACCUGCCCUCAGCUCUGGGAUAAGCCUGGGAAACCGGGUCUAAUACCGGAUAUGACUCCAUGACGCAUGUUGUGGGGUGGAAAGCCUUGUGCGGCUGAGGAUGGGCCCGCGGCCUAUCAGCUUGUUGGUGGGGUGANGGGCCUACCAAGGCGACGACGGGUAGCCGGCCUGAGAGGGCGACCGGCCACACUGGGACUGAGACACGGGCCCAGACUCCUACGGGAGGCAGCAGUGGGGAAUCUUGCGCAAUGGGCGAAAGCCUGACGCAGCGACGCCGCGUGAGGGAUGACGGCCU
rnacentral:rRNA from 1 species